UCAUAGCAACAGACUUGUACUUUGCACAGACACUUGAAGGCCGAUCAGUUCCAUUUGCUACAGCUGGUGACUGUUACAGUGCUGCCAGAUGUCCACAGGGUCAAUUUAGUAUCAAUCUUUCUGGAACAGGACUCAGAGUGUCAGAAUCAACAAGGUGGAUUUCACAGGGAAAUUAUGCUAUCGUAGAAAUACAACGAUUGCUGAAUGGCGCCAAAGUGACUGGGAAAUGUGGAGGUUAUUGUGGCAAAUGCAUCCCAUAUUCAGGAACAGGAUUAUAUGUACAGUUGCUUUAGCUCAGUAGGUGUUCAAGGCAUGUGAAUUAUUAAGGAGGUGAAACAUUAUGUGAGGCAAGCUGGAACAAGAUGAAGGGCAAACUCAUAUAUACCUCUGUGAUCUAUGUCUGUUGAUAACUCUGGACAUUUUGAUGUGUAAUAUUGUAUUUAUGAUCUGUGUUUAUAUUUAUUUCUCUUAAAAAUGUUUUGUGAAAGGAUACUUCUAUGUUUUAUCUUUAAAUGUAAGGCUCCAACAGUGUAAAGCACUGUUUGUACAUAUAACACACAAUAUGUAGCUUUGUAAGAAAAGGUCAUUUUAUUGACACUCUAUUUUUGACUUGUUUACUUAUCACUACACAUCUAGUAAACCAAAAACCAACUGAAAAGCCAUUUUUAAAUGGUGGUGCUAUGUACUAUAUUGUGAGUGUUUUUAACUUGGAAUUUACCUCUGCACUUUUAAUCAGGAAACAAAAGAAUAUGUACUGUUAUCACAUUGAGUAAUUUUGGUAAAGGUUAUGUAAAUAUAUGGGUAUUUGCAGCCGUAUGUUAUUGCACUGGUUAACUUUCAUUAGGCCUUAUUAACCAAAAAUGAGUACACUGGUAGAAAAUUGUUAAGCAGGAAGAAUAGAUUCCAUAAGGUCAAAGUGGCAUAAAGGGAACAAAAAUUGGGCUCACAAUAAGUUUUUUUUAUUUUGCAAUAACAGUAACCUGUUGUGUAAAUUAAUGUGCUGCUGAUAAUAAUAUGUCAAAUAUUAAUGCAUGCUGUGACCAUCUUGAUGCACCUUAAUUUACAUGAAAUAUAAUGGUUAACAGGCUGAUUCACUUAUAUUAAGGAUAUGGUAUGAAAAGCUGAAACAGCAAACCUCUUGUUAAUUAAAAUAACAAAUAAAAUUGCUAAAUUUAGAACCACAAAACAUGCAACAUAGUAUGUUAGAAGAUUUUUUGUGACAUAACUUUUGCAGAAUUUUGUUAUAAAAGAUAUAGCAUCUUACUAAGUUGUUCAAAAGAAGAAGGGAACAUUAGAAACUGCAUUGAUGUUUUAGGGGCAUAACAGACUUUAUGGUGCUAUUUGUGGUGCAAGUAAUUAUAAGUUUAAAAUAUACUGGGAGCAUGGUCGAUAUACAUUAACUCUGUAAGACAUGCUGCUAAUUUUAUUCAGUUUUGCAAGUGUGUGAAUCCCUGUUAUGUAAACAUACGUAUUAAAUGAUAAAUAAUAUUAUAACCUGCAUGCUAAUACAUCAUUCAAAACAGCUAUUCAAGAUUUGGGCUGAAGUAAAUCAAGUAGCAACUUUAUGAUUGUGCUAAUAUAUUUGAUAUUGUAGCAAUAAAAAAAAAGUAAUUUGAAAUUCUUUGAAGCUGAAUGCUGAAAAGAGUCCCAAUAAUUCUACUGCAAGAUGCAUAAUUUUUCAGAUGGUGGUAAAUGCAUGUACACCAAAUUGGCUUUAGUAAUACCAUAUCAAAUCAAUUGAUGAAUUGCAGCCAUCUGUUUUAUUAUUGAUUUGUUUUGUCAAAAGUGCAACAACAAUAACAUUAUACUAAUAUGAGCAUGAAAGAAUCAGUCAGCAUUAAGUAAAUGCUGUGCGAUGAUAAACAAAAUACCAUUAGAGAAUGGCAAGAUAAAUUUAAGUACAUCUUACAUGAAAAUUUGUCUUUGUUUAUUAGGUGGGUAAGUGGUCAUUUUUAAUUAUUAUAUUAACUUCACCUAAUUACAGUAGUUUCACAGUCUAAGUCUGUUAGUUUCAUAAUCUGAGUGGAUUAGUUUAAUUUUUCAUACCAAACAUUAAGUACAGACAAAGUUUCCUAUUAUUGUAAACUACAUAUAAUUGCAACAGAACUCGUUUUGAUUUUUCUAACACAAUAUUUAUAAUGUAUUCCCUAAAACCAAAACUCUGCUUACAAGUAUUACUUUACAUGAAAGGGAAAUUUUGAAGUUUUUGCAUUAAUCCAAGGCAAAUCUUGCACUAUGUGCCUAAACUUCAAUGCAAAGGCACAUUUUAAUUUCAUAAUAAGCAAUACGUCUUGGAGAUACAUCACCUCUAUGAAUAUUUAAGAUGUGUGCAGUUCAGCCUUAUAGUACAGAAUAUCUGCUAAAUGAAUAUUAAUCAUGGGUGUUUUAAAUUCAUUUAGAAAUCGAACUGGUUGUACUCAUUGUUACUACAAAAAAGAAAUUGACAUCAUUUUAUAGUAGUGUUACACUGUGCACUACAGUAUAGUAAACCAAUGUUACAUUAUUAAAGAUGCUAUUCAUAGUUUAAAUGUAUUUAUGACAAAUAUUAAAAUAUGCACUGGUAACUUAAAAAUU